UACAGAGGUCCCAAGCGUUGUUCGGAUUCACUGGGCGUAAAGGGUGCGUAGGCGGUCGGGUAAGUCUGAUGUGAAAUCUCAACAGCUUAACUGUGAAACUGCAUUGGAUACUAUCCGGCUUGAGGAAUGGAGGGGAGACGUGGAAUACUUGGUGUAGCAGUGAAAUGCGUAGAUAUCAAGUGGAACACCAGUGGCGAAGGCGAGUCUCUGGACAUUUCCUGACGCUGAGGCACGAAAGCCAGGGGAGCAAACGGG
rnacentral:rRNA from 1 species